GAUAUGGGUGAUUAUACAAAAAUUGGGUAACUCUAUGUCAUCAGCCAAUAUAUACAAAGUCUUAUUAUAUUUUAUUGAAAUACCAAUUUAUUUUAAAACAACGAAACGUCCUUUAUUUGGUCACCCAAUUUCACUUCUUUAUUUUAAAUACAAGUUAGUAAAAAAACCAAAUUAAUACUUAAAACGUCAGUCCUUUGGCAUGUCACAAUCCCGAAAACUAACAAUCAAGUGACUAUCCAUUAAACAUUAUCAUUGAUUUAAGAAAACUUACUAAUUUACUACAAUCUGUGAUGUAUAUAGUAUUAUAUACUACAACUUUCAUAAUGCAAUGUUCUCCAUUUUAUUUAAAAAAAAAUAAGAAACUUUGUGUUCGUUUCAUUGGUCAGUCCGUUGUGUGUUCUUUAAAAUUUGAAAAUCUCGCCAAAUAUCAUCGAGUCAAGGUCAAAUCCCUGUUUAAGCUUUAAUGUUGAUAAUGAAGUUAGUGUCGGACCGCACAAUUUGACGGUCGCCAUAACUAUAUCACUGCUUGGGUUGUGUUUGUCGUCUACACACGUGCGAAGCCAGUCAAAAUUUCAGUCCUGUGUGUAAAACAUCAUGCGACACUCUAAAAAACUAGGGAAGAAAUAUUUAAAAAAAAGAGAGAAGCCGGAGAGGCUCGCUUGGACAGAAUUAAAAGUGAUCCUAUUAAAUUAACGGAAUACAAAAAAAAAACAAAAUU